rnacentral:lncRNA from 1 species
GCAGGGUAAAGGGUGAUGAAGGUACUCAGGGCAGGGUAAAGGGUGAUGAAGGUACUCAGGGCAGGGUAGAGGUUGAUUAAGGUACUCAGGGCAGGGUAGAGUGUGAUAAAGGUACUCAGAUUAAGGUACUCAGAGCAGGGUAGAGUAGGGUUAAGGUACUCAGAGCAGGGUAGAGGGGGAUUAAGGUACUCAGGGCAAGGUGGAGGAUGAUUAUGGUACUCAGAGCAGGGUAGCGGGGGAUUAAGGUACUCAGAUUAAACGCUUGGUUAAUCUGCAUUCCUUUUGAGACACCUGGCAGCUAACUGUACCUGCAGAGGAGAGAGAGAAAGAUAAAGAGAGGGAGAGGUAGAAAGGGAAGAGAGAGAGAGGGAAGAGGGAUAGAGGGAGAGAGGGGAGAGAGAGGAAGAGAGAGAGGGAGAGAGAAAGAAGAGCGAGAGGGAGGGAGAGAGAGGGAGAGAGAGGGAGAGAGGGAGGGGUAGAGAGCUGAUAAUCCUUAAAGCUUCAGGUAAUGAUGUGGUGAUGAGUUCAUGGAACAGCUGUGGUUCAAGAUUAGUGUGUGUGUGUGUGUGUGUGUG